UACGGAGGGUGCGAGCGUUGUCCGGAAUCACUGGGCGUAAAGGGCGCGUAGGCGGCAGGCCAAGCGUGUGGUGAAAGCCCGGGGCUCAACCCCGGGUCGGCCAUGCGGACUGGCGUGCUUGAGCACUGUAGGGGCGGGUGGAAUUCCGGGUGUAGCGGUGGAAUGCGUAGAGAUCCGGAAGAACACCCGUGGCUAAGGCGGCUCUCUAGUACGGUACUGACGCUGAGACGCGAAAGCGUGGGGAGCGAACAGG
rnacentral:rRNA from 1 species